GGCGCCCGCCACCGUGUCCGGCUAAUUUUUUAUAUUUUUAGUAGAGAUGGGGUUUCACCGUGGUUUCGAUCUCCUGACCUCGUGAUCUGCCUGCUUUGGCCUCCCAAAGUGCUGGGAUUACAGGCAUGAGCCACUGUGCCCGGCCUUUAUGCUGAGUUUUAAGGGCUGUAUGAGACACCAGGUGGUGGGAGGGAGCUGUUUUGAGAGCAGGGAAUUUAGGAUACUUAGGAAAUUAGAAAAUUAGAGAAGUCAUAGGAUCUUGGAACUAAGGGAGAACCUUAGAGUCCUGUGGAGCAGAACCCAGCAUUUGUAUGUGGAGAAACGGAGGCCCAGAGAAGUUGUGACUUAUCCGGGUCACUCUGCAGGUCUGGGUGUCCCACCCGAGUCCAUGUCAGGGCUCUUUCUGCACACCAAGCCCCAUGCCCACCUCUGUGUGACUGGCUGUGGUGGGAGGGGCCUCCUAGGCUAGAGGUGCUGGGAUCCCUUUUCAGUCCAGAAAUAAUGAGCUUAGAGGGUCUGGAAGUAGCAUGGACUAAAACCCAGGAAGGAUCCACAGGGACUGUUGAUGCCAGUGAGGACUCCAGGAAGCCGGAUCACGGGGACUGUUGAUGCCAGUGAGGACUCCAGGAAGCUGCUGUUGGGACAGCCCUGCUUUGGGAGUCUGAGGUUCCAGGAAACCCCAGGAAUCCGGAUUCUCAUCCCUGAGACCUACUCAGGACUAGCCCAGGGGACCGAGCUAGGAAACCUGCUUGAGGUGGUAGAGGCAGCCAGGGGUGUGCAGUGGUCCGGGCGGGCUUCGAUCAGUUCCAGGUUGGUUGCUUCUCCAAACUGGCUCCAAGACAGGCAUGUGGCUCAAGUUGGUCUGGACUCAAUCCCGGGACUUUAGGACUUUUGCUAGAAAUCUGGUGUGGUGCAGGAGCGACUCCAGGAUUCACUCUGUGGGCUGCUUGGACUCAGACUCCCCCAGGACUAGAGGCUGCUUCUCCCUGGUGGGAGGAGUUACAACCUUGCAAGGGUUCUAAAGACCCCCGGGUGCUGGGUGGUGGGCUUUUCCUGACAACUUCCAUAAGUUAUUGGAACCUAAAUUCACACUGCUUAGCAUCGUAAUAGUCUGAUCAACCCUGCUCAGUGUUGUCAUACUUGCCCUAUUACCAGGGAGAGAAAUAGAGAGGUGGGUGCCUCCCUAGAGUAUCCACCCACACUGUGUACUGAAUGCCCCUCCUCAACCUGUCUCUCGUGGGGACCUGCACCUGCUUUUCCUACUAACUGCUGGCUUGUAUUUAUUCCCCUAAAGCCUGUUCCAUAACCCAGUGUGGUUCUUAGACUUGAGCAAACCUCAGAAACACCUGGAGGGCUUAUCCCCAGUCCUGAUUCUGUAGGUCUGGGGUGAGGCCUUAUAGUGUGCAUUUUAACAACGUCCCCAGUGUUUCCCAAUGCUGCUGGUGCACACCAAGUGUAGAAUUUGCCUCUGUGCCUGUUGCACAGUAGGUGGAGGUGGCAACUGUAAAAGAGACCCAGCUAUCCUAAAAACAGAAAAGGUACUGUCUUCAGUGGGGCUGCCAGGAUUGGAAGGAAUGUGAGCCUGUAGCUGCUCCUUUGCCCCCACGAAGGCCAGCUUGCCUUAGGAUGAAGCCAACACAGACCGGGUGCAGCAGCUCACACCUGUAAUCCCAGCACUUUGGGAGGCCAAGGUGGGCAGAUCACCUGAGGUCAGGAGUUUGAGACCAGCCUGGCCAACAUAAUGAAACCCUAGCUCUACUAAAAAAAAAAUAGAAUAAAAAAAAAAAUUAGCCGGGCAUGGUGAUGCACGCCUGUAAUCCCAGCUACUCAGGAGGCUGAGACAGGAAAAUCACUUGAACUGGGAGGUGGCAGUUAGAGUGAGUUGAGAUCACACACUGCACUCCAGUCUGGGGGACAGAGCAAGGGCUCAUCUCAAAAAAAAAAAAAAGAAAGAUAUAAAGCCAACACAAUUGAGAGAGAGUGACACAUUCCAGAGAAUAUUUGAGUAGCUGAAUCUAGACAUGUUUUACACUAACUGGAUCUAGCCCCUUUUUAGUGAAAUGAACCCCCCAGAAAGUUACCUUCUUUCCCUAAACCCAUCUCAAUAGGUUGCUGUCUGACAAUUCUGAGUCUCGCUGUAGUGGAGAAGACAUUGAAGACACCAGGUUAUAGAAAAACAACAGAGAAAAGAAAACAGAGGGCCGGGUGUGGUGACUCAUGCCUGUAAUCCCAGCACUUUGGGAGGCCGAGGCAGGCAGAUCACCUGAGGUCAGGAGUUCGAGACCAGCCUGGCCAACGUGGUGAAACCCCGUCUCUACUAAAAAUACAAAAUUAGCCUGGC
rnacentral:lncRNA from 1 species